AUGGGGGACUUUGAUGGUGAGCAAAAAGAAUUGAUCAAGAAAUUGGUAAACUUUCGCAUGAUCGAUGGUAAAAGAACGAGAGUUCGUGCUAUUGUUUAUAAAACUUUUCACCGCCUAGCUCGAACUGAACGCGAUGUAAUAAAACUUAUGGUUGACAUCGUAGAUAAUAUAAAGCCAAUAUGCGAAGUGGUCAAAGUAGGAGUCGCAUGUACUAUUUAUGAUGUUCCUGGGAUUGUAGCCAGGGAUCGUCAACAAACCUUAGCUAUUCGUUGGAUCCUUGGAGCAGCUUUCAAACAACGUAUAAGCUACAGGAUAAGCUUAGAGAAAUGUUCAUUUGCUGAGAUACUGGAUGCUUACUGA
rnacentral:rRNA from 1 species